rnacentral:rRNA from 1 species
GACGUAGGGUGCGAGCGUUAAUCGGAAUUACUGGGCGUAAAGCGUGCGCAGGCGGCUCCUUAAGUCAGAUGUGAAAGCCCCGGGCUUAACCUGGGAACUGCGUUUGAAACUGGGGAGCUAGAGUGUAGAAGAGGGGGGUGGAAUUCCAGGUGUAGCAGUGAAAUGCGCAGAUAUCAGGAGGAACACCGGUGGCGAAGGCGGCAUCCUGGACCGAGAUUGACGCUGAGGCGCGAAAGCCAGGGGAGCAAACGGG